rnacentral:rRNA from 1 species
UACGGAGGGGGUUAGCGUUGUUCGGAAUUACUGGGCGUAAAGCGAGCGUAGGCGGUUAAUCAAGUUGGUGGUGAAAGCCCGGAGCUCAACUCCGGAACUGCCAUCAAAACUGGUUUACUUGAGAUUGGUAGAAGAAAAUGGAAUUCCUAGUGUAGAGGUGAAAUUCGUAGAUAUUGGGAAGAACAUCUGUGGCGAAGGCGAUUUUCUGGGCCAUAUCUGACGCUGAGGUUCGAAAGCGUGGGUAGCAAACAGG